rnacentral:misc_RNA from 1 species
CAGAGAUCAUGCCCUUCGGGGUAGACCUCCCACCCUGUGUUAUUUACAAUUGUUGCUUCGGCAGGUCGCCUUCGGGCGCUCGGCUCCGGCUGAGGUGCACCUGCCAAAGGACCCCAAACUCUGUGUUUAGUGUCGUCUGAGUAAUAUAUAAUAGUUA